CAGCAGCCACGGUAAUACGAAGGGUGCAAGCGUUAAUCGGAAUUACUGGGCGUAAAGCGUGCGUAGGCGGUUUGUUAAGUCUGUUGUGAAAUCCCCGGGCUCAACCUGGGAAUGGCAAUGGAUACUGGCAAGCUAGAGUGUGUCAGAGGAUGGUGGAAUUCCCGGUGUAGCGGUGAAAUGCGUAGAGAUCGGGAGGAACAUCUGUGGCGAAGGCGACUAUCUGGGCCAACACUGACACUGAGGCACGAAAGCGUGGGGAGCAAACAGGAUUAGAUACCCCUGUAGUCCCUGUCUCUUAUAC
rnacentral:rRNA from 1 species